rnacentral:Y_RNA from 1 species
GGCUGGUCCCAGGGUAGUGAGUUAUCUCAGUUGACUGUUCACAGUCCGUUUCAUAUUGACCUCUUUGUUCUACUCUUUCUCACUACAGCACUUGACUAGCCUAGG